rnacentral:rRNA from 1 species
AGAGUUUGAUCCUGGCUCAGAGCGAACGCUGGCGGCAGGCCUAACACAUGCAAGUCCAACGCACCCUUCGGGGUGAGUGGCGGACGGGUGAGUAACCCCUGGGAACGUACCCUUUGCUUCGGAAUAACUCAGGGAACCUUGACCUAAUACCGGAUCAGCCCCCCCGGGCACAGCUUUAUCCCCCACGGAGCCCCCCCCGCCCGAUCCGCUAGUUGGCGACCCCCCCCG